UUGACGGGACCGCACAAGCGGUGGAUGAUGUGGAUUAAUUCGAUGCAACGCGAAAACCUUACCUACCCUUGACAUGUCCGGAAUCCCGAAGAGAUUUGGGAGUGCUCGCAAGAGAACCGGAACACAGGUGCUGCAUGGCUGUCGUCAGCUCGUGUCGUGAGAUGUUGGGUUAAGUCCCGCAACGAGCGCAACCCUUGUCAUUAGUUGCCAUCAUUUGGUUGGGCACUCUAAUGAGACUGCCGGUGGCAAACCGGAGGAAGGUGGGGAUGACGUCAAGUCCUCAUGGCCCUUAUGGGUAGGGCUUCACACGUCAUACAAUGGUCGGUACAGAGGGUUGCCAACCCGCGAGGGGGAGCUAAUCCCACAAAGCCGAUCGUAGUCCGGAUCGCAGUCUGCAACUCGACUGCGUGAAGUCGGAAUCGCUAGUAAUCGCGGAUCAGCAUGUCGCGGUGAAUACGUUCCCGGGUCUU
rnacentral:rRNA from 1 species